rnacentral:rRNA from 1 species
UACAGAGGGGGCAAGCGUUGUUCGGAAUUACUGGGCGUAAAGGGCGCGUAGGCGGCCACCGCAAGUCGACUGUGAAAUCUCCGGGCUUAACCCGGAACGGUCAGCCGAUAGUGCGGGGCUAGAGUGCAGAAGGGGCAACUGGAAUUCUCGGUGUAGCGGUGAAAUGCGUAGAUAUCGAGAGGAACACCUGCGGCGAAGGCGGGUUGCUGGGCUGACACUGACGCUGAGGCGCGAAAGCUAGGGGAGCGAACGGG